rnacentral:rRNA from 1 species
GACGAACGCUGGCGGCGUGCUUAACACAUGCAAGUCGAACGGAAAGGCCCUGCUUUUGUGGGGUGCUCGAGUGGCGAACGGGUGAGUAACACGUGAGUAACCUGCCCUUGACUUUGGGAUAACUUCAGGAAACUGGGGCUAAUACCGGAUAGGAGCUCCUGCUGCAUGGUGGGGGUUGGAAAGUUUCGGCGGUUGGGGAUGGACUCGCGGCUUAUCAGCUUGUUGGUGGGGUAGUGGCUUACCAAGGCUUUGACGGGUAGCCGGCCUGAGAGGGUGACCGGCCACAUUGGGACUGAGAUACGGCCCAGACUCCUACGGGAGGCAGCAGUGGGGAAUAUUGCACAAUGGGCGGAAGCCUGAUGCAGCAACGCCGCGUGCGGGAUGACGGCCUUCGGGUUGUAAACCGCUUUCGCCUGUGACGAAGCGUGAGUGACGGUAAUGGGUAAAGAAGCACCGGCUAACUACGUGCCAGCAGCCGCGGUGAUACGUAGGGUGCGAGCGUUGUCCGGAUUUAUUGGGCGUAAAGGGCUCGUAGGUGGUUGAUCGCGUCGGAAGUGUAAUCUUGGGGCUUAACCCUGAGCGUGCUUUCUAUACGGGUUGACUUGAGGAAGGUAGGGGAGAAUGGAAUUCCUGGUGGAGCGGUGGAAUGCGCAGAUAUCAGGAGGAACACCAGUGGCGAAGGCGGUUCUCUGGGCCUUUCCUGACGCUGAGGAGCGAAAGCGUGGGGAGCGAACAGGCUUAGAUACCCUGGUAGUCCACGCUGUAAACGGUGGGUACUAGGUGUGGGGUCCAUUCCACGGGUUCCGUGCCGUAGCUAACGCUUUAAGUACCCCGCCUGGGGAGUACGGCCGCAAGGCUAAAACUCAAAGGAAUUGACGGGGCCCCGCACAAGCGGCGGAGCAUGCGGAUUAAUUCGAUGCAACGCGUAGAACCUUACCUGGGUUUGACAUGGAUCGGGAGUGCUCAGAGAUGGGUGUGCCUCUUUUGGGGUCGGUUCACAGGUGGUGCAUGGCUGUCGUCAGCUCGUGUCGUGAGAUGUUGGGUUAAGUCCCGCAACGAGCGCAACCCUUGUUCACUGUUGCCAGCACGUUAUGGUGGGGACUCAGUGGAGACCGCCGGGGUCAACUCGGAGGAAGGUGGGGAUGACGUCAAGUCAUCAUGCCCCUUAUGUCCAGGGCUUCACGCAUGCUACAAUGGCUGGUACAGAGAGUGGCGAGCCUGUGAGGGUGAGCGAAUCUCGGAAAGCCGGUCUCAGUUCGGAUUGGGGUCUGCAACUCGACCUCAUGAAGUCGGAGUCGCUAGUAAUCGCAGAUCAGCAACGCUGCGGUGAAUACGUUCCCGGGGCU